rnacentral:rRNA from 1 species
CGGCCGCGUCGACCAUGGCUCAGAUUGAACGCUGGCGGCAGGCCUAACACAUGCAAGUCGAGCGGAUGAAGGGAGCUUGCUCCCUGAUUUAGCGGCGGACGGGUGAGUAAUGCCUAGGAAUCUGCCUGGUAGUGGGGGACAACGUUUCGAAAGGAACGCUAAUACCGCAUACGUCCUACGGGAGAAAGUGGGGGAUCUUCGGACCUCACGCUAUCAGAUGAGCCUAGGUCGGAUUAGCUAGUUGGUGAGGUAAAGGCUCACCAAGGCGACGAUCCGUAACUGGUCUGAGAGGACGAUCAGCCACACUGGGACUGAGACACGGCCCAGACUCCUACGGGAGGCAGCAGUGGGGAAUUUUCCGCAAUGGGCGAAAGCCUGACGGAGCAAGA